rnacentral:rRNA from 1 species
GCGAGAAACCUUUGCAAUGUGCGCAAGCACGACAAGGUUAAUCCGAGUGUUUCCUGCUAAAGGAAUCUUUUGUUAGUUCUAAAACCACUGAUGAAUAAGGGGUGGGCAAGUUCUGGUGUCAGCCGCCGCGGUAAAACCAGCACCUCAAGUGGUCAGGAGGAUUAUUGGGCCUAAAGCAUCCGUAGCCGGUUCUGUAAGUUUCCGGUUAAAUCCACUAGCUCAACUAAUGGGCUGCCGGAAAUACUGCAGAACUAGGGAGUGGGAGAGGUAGACGGUACUCGGGAGGAAGGGGUAAAAUCCUUUGAUCUCUUGAUGACCACCUGUGGCGAAGGCGGUCUACCAGAACACGUUCGACGGUGAGGGAUGAAAGCUGGGGGAGCAAACCGGAUUAGAUACCCCGGUAGUCCCUGAGCGGGCUGGCAAGGCGCAU